rnacentral:rRNA from 1 species
UACGGGGGGGCAAGCGUUGGUUCGGAUUUACUGGGCGUAAAGGGCGCGGUAGGCGGAUCGUGACAAGUCGUACUUGUGAAAUCUCCGGGCUUAACUCGGAACGGUCAAGUGAUACUGUCGGACUAGAGUACAGAAGGGGCAACUGGAAUUCUCGGUGUAGCGGUGAAAUGCGUAGAUAUCGAGAGGAACACCAGUGGCGAAGGCGGCUCACUGGCCCGGUACUGACGCUGAGGCGCGGAAAGCGUGGGGAGCAAACAGG